GGGGAUAUAGCUCAGUUGGUACAGUGCUUGCCUCACAUGCACAGACCUGAGUUUGAUCCCCAGUACCACA
rnacentral:tRNA from 1 species